CCAACGGUCCUUUUCAGGACCACAGAAAGUCUCGACGCUCGACUAU
rfam:Aedes albopictus isolate Foshan contig33918, whole genome shotgun sequence.